UACGGAGGGUGCAAGCGUUGCUCGGAAUUACUGGGCGUAAAGGGCUCGAUAGGCGGCCAACUAAGUCAGACGUGAAAUCCCUCGGCUUAACCGGGGAACUGCGUCUGAUACUGGAUGGCUUGAGUUUGGGAGAGGGAUGCGGAAUUCCAGGUGUAGCGGUGAAAUGCGUAGAUAUCUGGAGGAACACCGGUGGCGAAGGCGGCAUCCUGGACCAACACUGACGCUGAGUGAGCGAAAGCCAGGGGAGCAAACGGG
rnacentral:rRNA from 1 species